UUAGAGAGUGCUAAUCAAUCAUUGAAGUAUAUAUUUGAGUAAAAAAUGAAAGUUAGGAGAAGUUAGUAAAUGAUCGCAUAUAUUCAGUAUUUGUAGUGUAUUUAGUUAAUCAGUCGGUUAGAAAAGAGAUGUUACUCGAAAAGCCACAUCGGGCUAUCUGCUGUGUCCAUCGAGGGGAAUAGAACUCCUGAUUCUAGCGUUGUAAAUCCGAAGACUUACCACUAUCCCACCGAGGAAUAAAAAACAUUAUAAGUCUUUUGUACAGAAAAAGUAAGAAUUUCUAAUAAAGUACUUUUGCUAAAAGUUAAUGAUUAAAUAAAGGAAGAUGAAUAUUGAGUA